ACUAAGUUAUGAACUCCCUGAAAUCAAUAGACCAAGUUUCAAGCUAUGCAUAAGUGAAUUUGAACACAUGACGUAUAGAAAACUAGACCCAGCCCAGAUUUCAACAAUCCUAAACAUAAAUGAUUUGAACUAAUAGACAUACAACUCAUGGCCACACUCAAAUCCAAACUAACUCACAAUCCAGUAAGAGCACAAGAGCCUUCGGUUAAUACACAUACCUAACAUCUUCAGUUAAUACACACGCCUAACAUCUAAUAUAUUGCUGCAUUGAAUACAUUCAAGAUAGAACCCAUAUUUAAUCUUAAGAUACAAGUGUAUUACUGAUUACAUGAUUAGCUACACAUAAGAAACUUGGCUAGGAGGAGGCAGGAAACACAAUGCAACAAACUUAAAGAAAAGAAAAUGGUAGAGUCAAAGAGAAAAAUCCCUUUCUUCAACUAGAAUUCACAUCUUCAUACAAUAGCCCAAAAUAGACAUCAAUUCCAUUCAUGGUUCAAAUGAAAUACCUAGGAAACAAAAGGAAACAAGGAGAAAUGAGGAUUCAGUAAAACAGCAACAUCAGAUCAACAACCAGAUCCAAUGGAACAGUAACCCAGAAAACCAAACAGCUUCAAACCAAGCUCUUAAAUUCCCAGAAUCAAUCCAUUUUCAGCUAGGUACAGGGAUUUGAAAUGCGUCAAGAACUCUAGCUAACAGAGAUGAUCAGGAACCCUAGACUAGGCAGGAUUUGAGCUAUUUUAAAUAGGGAAAUGUCAAGAAUCUGAAUGUUAAUUCAGAGUUUUUCAAGCCUUCAAGCCGUUUCAAUUUUGCAGGAUUUUUUUUUCUCUCUUCAAAGUCUGCCUUCAAUGCCAAGUAAAGGUGCCUUUAAAGGCAAGGCAUUAGGGCAUCCUCAAGGUAUUCCGUUUUUGCACCUUACCCCUUUUGAAAUUCUCAUUUUUGCUUAGACCUCCUUAGUGUAAAAUUCAGACUUUCACAUAAGCCCCCACCCAAGCUUCUAGGAAGCUUCCUUAGGCAGUUACAUCAAGAUUCCCUAAGCCAAUUACCCAGAAUACCCCCUUAAACCCUUACUUUUUAUUUUCAAACAACCAAACGGGUCAUGGAUCAAUUUGACCCAACGGUUUAAACCCCAAAUGAACAGGCCAGAAUUGAACUUAAGGCCCGAACAAAACUCAGAAACCCAUUUAGCUAAAUCAAUGAGAAGCAGAAAAGAGAAACAAUUAAAUGACUUCAAACAUCAAAAUCUAACCAAGUAAUUGAUUUCUUUUAGAACUAAAUACUGAGCUGAGGUUAACCAAAUUAGAGAAUCAACAAAGCCUAAAUUAAGCUAAUUAUCAAAAAUGUCAUAAAUAACAAAACAAGCAAAGAACAGUAUUUAAAACCUGAAAAGAAAUGACUGAAAAUCUAAUGGAGCAAGUACGAACACUAAAUUAUUCAAAAAAGGAAAACUAGGUCUGAACUUCUAUCUACUUUCCAAACAUCCACAGAAACGGGAAGACAAAGAAGAAAGAGUCGGAAGAUGAAACGGUAUAUUAGGGCAAGAAAAAUGAAGAACACUUACCGAUUCACAUUUGAACCCAAUAUUGGACCUUCAAUUUAACACAAUCGGUGUUAACCGCUUAUUCUUUAUUAAGAACAAACGACCAACACUGCUUAUGCCAAACUAGACUUCGAAAAUCUUGAAAACUUGGACGCUUGUGGUCAUGCAGCCAUGGAAUCAAAGGCAGAACAAUUUUGGCUUUUUGGGGCUUCGAACUCUGACUUUAGAUUUAAGAUUCGACGAGAUUGAGAGGGAUUCGAGGGGAGCUAUGUUGAGAUUUGGAAAGAGGAAGGUGAGGGGGUUCGAUGGUGUUACUUUGGGGGUGAUUGGAGGUGGCGCCGCCACCGGGGAGUGGAGAAUUUAGGGGCGGCGGUAGGGUUUUGCUCGGUUCUCUAAAGAUAGAGUGAGAGAGAU
rnacentral:lncRNA from 1 species